UAGAAUUGGGGUGGGAUUAAGUUAAUCCCACCCCAAUUUAAUUUUUAAAUACAAAUUUAUAAUUAUAAUUUUAAUUUAUAAAUUUUAAAAAUUUAUAAUUUGUAAUCUUAAAAUUAAAAUUAAUAUUUUUUAAAUUUAAAAUUUAAAAUUUAAAAUUUAUUUUUAAUUGUUUAAAUUUUAAAUUUAACAUUUUAUAUUUGAAAUUUUAAAAAUGUAUAAUUUGCAAUCUUAAAAAUAAUAUUUAUUGUUUAAAAUUUAAAAAUUUAAAAUUUAAAUUAUUAUUUUUAAUUAUUUAAAUUUAAAAUUUAAUAUUUUUUAAUUAAAAUUUUAAAUUUUUAAAUUCGAGAUUUAAAAAUAAAUUUUAAUUUUGAAUUAUGUAAUUUUGAAAGUUAUCUAUUUAAAUUUGAAAUUUGAAAUAUAAAAUAAAAAAAUUAAAUUCAAAUACAAAAAUUAGGGCAAAAUCAAUAUUUUCUAUUUAUAACAACCCACUAUCCUUCUUAUUCCAUCUACUCCAACCAAACGCUAUUUUUCUUAUACCUGGACUAAACCCAAUUCUCAACCAAACACAAAAUUACUCUAAUCUCAUCUUAAUCCUGAACUUAACCCUAUUCCUGAAAUAAUUAGCUUUUACUUAACCUCGAACCAAAUGGUAGCUAAGUGUUUAGUGUGUUUUUACUUUACCAUCACGCUAUUCAAAAGAUUACACUUGGCUAUCCGAUUUUAUAUCUGUCGGACUAUAAGGAGCUAUUCUUAAACAAAAUACUAGCCUAUGAUUUUCAAAAACUUUUUCUUUGUUAACCUAUUUGACGGCAUAUUUUUUUCAGUAAAAUAAAAAUGAAAUCAUUAAGCGCAAUUUUUUGAAUUAGAGCGUGACAACGUUAAAAAUAAAAAUAAAAAAAAAAGCGAACAAAACCACAGGGGGCAAAUUGAAGUUUAUCCAUGGUGCAUGAACACAUCUGGUGCAGGCAAAAACAAAAUUUAAUCUGGUCUAAACCCUGAUAUUUCUUCUGGGUUAGGUCGAUCCGGCCACACUUCCGUUCUAAAAAAGUUCAAAACUCUCUAAAAUUUUGUCAGAUAGUGUGCUAAGAAUUUUUCUCGGAUAAAGAUAGUUGAUCAUGUUAAGAUAGGUGUGGUUUUGCACUUUCUCACUUUAGUACUCUGUCGGUUAAAGUGUAUCAAGUUAGUACCCUAUGGUUUUGCACUUUCUUACUUUAGUAUCCUGUGGUUUAAUAUUUCAUUAAAUUAUAUACAAAAAAACUUCAGAUAUCCUACCUAGAUUUAUCGAAUAUUCAUUUUAAUACUCUUUAGUUUUAACUUUAUUACUGAUUUAACAAAAAAAUAUCCCGAAAUAAAUAAAAAAAAGAGAAAAAUAAAAACACAUGGUACUAACUUGAUAUAAAGAUGAAACAAUAAAGUACUAACUUGAUACACUUUAAACCACAUGGUACUAAAGUGAGAACGUACGAAAUCACAUGAUACUAACUUGAUAUAUUUUAAACCAUAGGAUACUAAUGUGAGAAAGUGCGAAAUCACAAAAAAAAUAUUUAAAUUUUUUAUUUUUUAAAUUACGAUCAUAAAAAGUAAAA
rnacentral:lncRNA from 1 species